UACAGAGGUCUCAAGCGUUGUUCGGAUUCACUGGGCGUAAAGGGUGCGUAGGUGGCGGGGUAAGUCAGGUGUGAAAUUUCGGAGCUUAACUCCGAAACUGCAUUUGAUACUGCCUUGCUUGAGGACUGGAGAGGAGACUGGAAUUCACGGUGUAGCAGUGAAAUGCGUAGAUAUCGGGAGGAACAUCCGUGGCGAAGGCGGCUACCUGGACCAGCACUGACACUGAGGCACGAAAGCGUGGGGAGCAAACAGG
rnacentral:rRNA from 1 species